rnacentral:rRNA from 1 species
UACGGGGGGAGCAAGCGUUGUUCAGAUUUACUGGGCGUAAAGGGCGCGUAGGCGGUCGUGACAAGUCACUUGUGAAAUCUCCGGGCUUAACUCGGAACGGUCAACUGAUACUGUGCGACUAGAGUGCGGAAGGGGCAACUGGAAUUCUUGGUGUAGCGGUGAAAUGCGUAGAUAUCAAGAGGAACACCUGCGGCGAAGGCGGGUUGCUGGGCCGACACUGACGCUGAUGCGCGAAAGCCAGGGGAGCGAACGGG